GCUGGGUGUGGUGGUGCACACCUGUAGUCUCAGCUACUCGGGAGGCUGAGGCUGGAGGAUUGGUUGAGCCCAGGAGGUCAAGGCUGCAGUGAGCUAUGAUUGCACUACCGCAGUUCCAGCCUGGGCAACAGAGUAAGACCCCGUCUCUU
rfam:Pan troglodytes isolate Yerkes chimp pedigree #C0471 (Clint) chromosome 6, whole genome shotgun sequence.